GAUGAACGCUGGCGGCGUGCCUAAUACAUGCCAGUCGAACGAUCAGACUAGGAUCUUGCUCCUCUGACGUUACCUGCGGACUGGUGAGUAACCCGUGGAUUACCUACCUCUACUACUGGCAUCACUUCGUGAAACCUGAUCUAAUACCGUCUAAUAUAUUUCACCUCAUGGUUCAAUCGUGAAAGACUGUUUUGCUGUCACUUAUAGAUGGUUCCACGCCGCAUUAGCUAGUUGGUAAGGUAACGGCUUACCACGGCAACGAUGCGUAGCCGACCUGAGAGGGUGAUAGGACAGACUGGAACAGAGAAACGGCAGAGACUCUGAGGGGAAGCAGCAGUAGGGAAUCUUACGCAAUGGGGGAAAGGGUGACGGAGCAAAGCCGCGGGAGGGAUGAAGGAGUAAGGAUGGGAAAAAGAUGUAAGUAGGGAAGAAGAAAUGUGUAAGUAACUAGGAAGGUAUUGACGGUACCUAAUGAAAAAGCCACGGCUAACUCCGUG
rnacentral:rRNA from 1 species